GCGUAAAGAGCUCGUAGGUGGUUUGUCGCGUUGUUCGUGAAAUCUCACGGCUUAACUGUGAGCGUGCGGGCGAUACGGGCAGACUUGAGUACUGCAGGGGAGACUGGAAUUCCUGGUGUAGCGGUGGAAUGCGCAGAUAUCAGGAGGAACACCGGUGGCGAAGGCGGGUCUCUGGGCAGUAACUGACGCUGAGGAGCGAAAGCGUGGGGAGCGAACAGGAUUAGAUACCCUGGUAGUCCACGCCGUAAACGGUGGGUACUAGGUGUGGGUUUCCUUCCUUGGGAUCCGUGCCGUAGCUAACGCAUUAAGUACCCCGCCUGGGGAGUACGGCCGCAAGGCUAAAACUCAAAGAAAUUGACGGGGGCCCCGCACAAGCGGCGGAGCAUGUGGAUUAAUUCGAUGCAACGCGAAGAACCUUACCUGGGUUUGACAUGCACAGGACGCCGGCAGAGAUGUCGGUUCCCUUGUGGCCUGUGUGCAGGUGGUGCAUGGCUGUCGUCAGCUCGUGUCGUGAGAUGUUGGGUUAAGUCCCGCAACGAGCGCAACCCUUGUCUCAUGUUGCCAGCGGGUAAUGCCGGGGACUCGUGAGAGACUGCCGGGGUCAACUCGGAGGAAGGUGGGGAUGACGUCAAGUCAUCAUGCCCCUUAUGUCCAGGGCUUCACACAUGCUACAAUGGCCGGUACAAAGGGCUGCGAUGCCGCGAGGUUAAGCGAAUCCUUUUAAAGCCGGUCUCAGUUCGGAUCGGGGUCUGCAACUCGACCCCGUGAAGUCGGAGUCGCUAGU
rnacentral:rRNA from 1 species